rnacentral:rRNA from 1 species
GCGGAGGGAUCAUUACCAGAAGCCGCGCCGGCCGCAACGCCGGCGCCUUCGCCCAACCCUUUGUGAAUCGCGCCCGAUUUCCCCGGGGGGACCGCCUGCCCUGCGCGCGCGGCCCCCCGGCGGACCCCUCCAACUCGUGUUGUACCUGCCGUCCGAGUCUUAUGAGAAAUCAAACAAAAACUUUCAACAACGGAUCUCUUGGUUCUGGCAUCGAUGAAGAACGCAGCGAAAUGCGAUAAGUAAUGUGAAUUGCAGAAUUCAGUGAAUCAUCGAAUCUUUGAACGCACAUUGCGCCCGCCAGUAUUCUGGCGGGCAUGCCUGUUCGAGCGUCAUUUCAACCCUCAAGCCCAGCUUGGUGUUGGGAGCUGCAGUCCUGCUGCACUCCCCAAAUACAUUGGCGGUCACGUCGAGCUUCCAUAGCGUAGUAAUUUACACAUCGUUACUGGUAAUCGUCGCGGCCACGCCGUUAAACCCCAACUUCUGAAUGUUGACCUCGGAUCAGGUAGGAAUACCCGCUGAACUUAAGCAUAUCAAUAAGCGGAGGAAAAGAAACCAACAGGGAUUGCCCCAGUAACG